AGACGAAGGGUAGGAGUUGUUUGGUAGAAGAGUUUUCUCUGUUGCAGGAUAUGGGGGGUUUUCCAAAAUAUUUUCCAUCAAAUCAAAGGGCUACAGUGGCUUUAUUGCAAUUUGUUUGGCAAUAUCCUCUAUAUUCUUCUACCCUAAAAAUUCUUCUCUUAAACAAUGCCCACCCUUCAUCU
rnacentral:pre_miRNA from 1 species